UACGGGGGGGGCAAGCGUUGUUCGGAAUUACUGGGCGUAAAGGGUUCGUAGGUGGCCGACUAAGUCAAACGUGAAAUCCCUCAGCUUAACUGGGGAACUGCGUCUGAUACUGGUCGGCUCGAGUGCAGGAGAGGAACGCGGAAUUCCAGGUGUAGCGGUGAAAUGCGUAGAUAUCUGGAGGAACACCGGUGGCGAAGGCGGCGUUCUGGACUGCAACUGACACUGAGGAACGAAAGCCAGGGGAGCAAACGGG
rnacentral:rRNA from 1 species